AGAAAAUGGUUGUGUCAUCUCCCAUGGAAAUAACACAUUUUCCUCAUAAUCUUCUGGUACAUGGAACAGGCAGCUCCAAAGAGCAGCUGUCCUGAUACUGGCUUGGAAAAGGUAAAGCCUGUAAUCUACACAAUACCUAAGCACAAGGAGAUUAUUUCAAGGCAUGAAAGGCAGCAGUGUGUGUGCUAGGGAGGUGAAGCAGUCUGACUGCACAUGGCAAUGCUGGCUCCAAGGCACCAGGCAGGCCUGGGAAGGAGCUGACACCUCAAGGGUUAAGUGAGGAGCAGGCAGCACUCAGGAGCUGCUGCAGGCAAAGGUGAAAUUGGGCCAGGUGCAAAUCUCACUUUGUCCCCACCUGAAAGGUGGAAGAGGGAUUUUUUUCACUCCCCCCACCCCAUGCCUUUUAAGUCACAGAGUUUUUUUGUCUUCUGGUUUCAGGCUCUGAAAUCCAGCCAAACUACCUCUGCUGGGGAAAAAAAGAAAAUAAGCGUAGGCAGAGAAAUACAUUUUUCUUCCAAAACCAGCUUUAAACCAGAAGACAGCAAAACUCCCUUAAUUUGCUGCAGUCUCUUUAUCCUGCGAUAUUCCAGCCUCUCGAAAAAUGAAAAGAGAAAGCGGAAAACCUACAGAAGGAAGGGGGAAUGGGUUGAGGAUGACAUCAGGUUAAAAAGGGAGAGCAAGAUUGCCAAAAAGGAAUGGGCACCACUUGGAGCAGAUGCAUCUGUGCUGGAUAACUGGCCUUUGCCAGGAUGCUGGGCAUGCACCACUGAAAGGAUGAAUUCAAAAUGUGGCUUGACCCUGUGGUGCACUUGGCAGCUGAGCCUCCCUAUGUGGUCCCGGGCUCCAGAGGCACUCAAGGAGGGCAGCAAGGGUUGUUUUUUCUUUCUCUUUCCCUUCUGUUUAUUCAGCAAAGUUAAUUUAAAAGCUGAUUCCUGCUUACAUGGAGACAUCACCGGGACUGGUGUCAGGAGGAGGAGGAGGGGUAAGAGUGGUUGCAUGGUUUCCCCACCCAGAGACGAGCUUGGUCUCCAAACUGAGAUUUCUCUUCUGACGGUGGAGGCCAGAGUUUGGAAGAGCACGGGAGUCGCUGGGUUUGGUGGCUAG
rnacentral:lncRNA from 1 species